GGCACAUCCAAAGAGGGAGAGCAACUGAAUCAAGAGUCGUCAAUUUGUAAUUUAGGUAUUUCCCACACACACAAAGCCUUACCCAGCAACGCGUAGAAGUGAAAUCUAAUUGGAGAAAAACUCUGAAUUCUCAUUGGAUAAAAAUCCCGGGAACGCCACCAAGACCCGGAAAUGGUGCAUCCAAAGAGGGAGAGCAACUGAAUCAAGAGUCGUUUGUAAAUUGGGUAUUUCCCACACAAAGAAAGCACAGUCUUACCUUUGAUGCCAAACUUGGAAUUCCCGGCAAACUUGAUAAUGGCCAACAUGAGCAGGAGGCCGAAGAAGGCGACGGCGGCGAUUCCCACCACCACGUACACCUGCAAGAAUGUGAUAAAGCACCACUGAAAACACAGCAACCCGCCAAUGAGGUUGACAGGUGGUAACCAGUGCCAUGUUCCAGAAGAGGUCUGGUGAGGGCACCCCUGAGGUCACACAGGACAGCUGCACGUUGGAUCCCUCCAUGACGGUCACUUUAGGCUCUGGCGGGCUCAGCGUCGCCAUGGGAAGCUCUGCAGCAAAACACCAGGAAGACAAAGAAGGCGAUGAUGGAGUUAGACACACACACACACACACACAAUCAAAGAAACCUUGGAUUCAGAAUGCUGCCCCCUUUCCUUUCAAGUGUGCACACUCACCCACGGUCCACACACACACAAAGACAAACAGAGAAGUGGUUACGCUCAUUACUGAUGCAUGCCGACUCCUAAACUGAUUGGUCACAGCCAGAAUCUUCUUUCAGUGAGUGUAUGCUAACCAGGAGGACGACAAUUGGACUCAUCAAAUAAGGCAAAAGUCAAGUGUUAAAGUUCCAGGCAGGCUUCUCUACACUUCUGAAAAUAAAACCCGAAGCUCUGCCAAGUAUCCCAUCCAUCAGGCACAGACAUGGAAGUGUUGGAGAGUCUCAAUCGGGACAGCAGGUUGCGUGCUCCUCCAUCCUCAAUGCAGCGCAGCUCCUGAGUGUCUGCUUCUUCUCCCAGCCACAGCUUGAUCCACAUGUUCUCACAGGAGCAGCGCAGAGGGUUUCCCGUCAAGAUCCUGCACACACACACACACACACACACACAGUUAUUGCAGACGGUCAAGGACAGUGAGAACCAGAGCAACAAUGGACUACAAAGUUUAGUUUCUAUGCAGGUUAAACUAGGGAAAGACAAUGGAAAUAGACAUUGGAAAAUAAGCCUUAUUUUUAUCAGUGAAAUGAAUAGUUUUGUCACUUUGAUAUGUUGUAAGAAUGCGAAGAAAACUACAGGUAAGUCAACUCACAGGUAAGAGAUGUUGAGGUGUCUGAAUAUCGUCCAGGAGAGCGACGACAGGUUGUUAUCUUUCAGAUUCCUGCAAGACAAAUAUUUGAAUUAAGGUGUAUUGUUUUUUCUUGAAAUUGUAGUCAUCAUAAAAAUAAAAAUAAA